GGACGGAGAAGGCUAUGUUGGCCGGGCGACGGUUGUCCCGGUUUAAGCGUGUAGGCUGGUUUUCCAGGCAAAUCCGGAAAAUCAAGGCUGAGGCGUGAUGACGAGGCACUACGGUGCUGAAGCAACAAAUGCCCUGCUUCCAGGAAAAGCCUCUAAGCAUCAGGUAACAUCAAAUCGUACCCCAAACCGACACAGGUGGUCAGGUAGAGAAUACCAAGGCGCUUGAGAGAACUCGGGUGAAGGAACUAGGCAAAAUGGUGCCGUAACUUCGGGAGAAGGCACGC
rnacentral:rRNA from 1 species